rnacentral:piRNA from 1 species
UAGGAAUCCCAGUUUAAUAAGGCUGACUCCAC